rnacentral:rRNA from 1 species
UACGAAGGGGGCUAGCGUUGCUCGGAAUCACUGGGCGUAAAGCGCACGUAGGCGGACUCUUAAGUCGGUGGUGAAAUCCUGGAGCUCAACUCCAGAACUGCCUUCGAUACUGGGAGUCUUGAGUCCGGGAGAGGUGAGUGGAACUGCGAGUGUAGAGGUGAAAUUCGUAGAUAUUAGGAAGAACACCAGUGGCGAAGGCGGCUCACUGGUCCGGUACUGACGCUGAGGUGCGAAAGCGUGGGGAGCAAACAGG